CGCCUGUUUAUCAAAAACAUGUCUUUUUGUUUUUAAUUUAAAGUUUGGCCUGCUCCAUGAUUUAUUAUUAAAUAGCCGCAGUAUUUUGACUGUGCAAAGGUAGCAUAAUCAUUAGUUUUUUUAUUGAAAGCUGGAAUGAAUGGUCGGAUGAGAAAGUCUCUGUCUCAGUUUAAUUAAAUUGAAUUUUAUAUUUAAGUUAAAAGGCUUAAAUUUUAUAGAAAGACGAGAAGACCCUAUAGAGUUUAAUAGAUUAAAUAAAUUAUUUAUAUGAGGGUUUAAAUUUAAUUGAUUUAUUAUCUAUUUGAUUGGGGUGAUUAAAGAAUUGGAUUAACUUCUUAUUUCUAACCACUGAUUAGUGAAUAAAGGAUCCUAUAAUUUGGAUUUAAAGAUUAAAUUACCUUAGGGAUAACAGCGUAAUCUUUUUAGAGAGUUCUUAUCGAUAAGAGGGAUUGCGACCUCGAUGUUGGAUUAAAGUUUAAGUGCGGUGCAGAAGCUGCAAAUUUAAGACUGUUCGACUUUUAAAACUUUACGUGAUCUGAGUUUAGACCGG
rnacentral:rRNA from 1 species